UCGAGAAUCUUCCGCAAUGCACGAAAGUGUGACGGAGCGACGCCGCGUGGUGGAUGAAGCCCUUAGGGGCGUAAACACCUUUUAUGAGGGAGGAAGUUUAUUGACGUUACCUCAUGAAUAAGGGGCUCCCAACUCUGUGCCAGCAGGAGCGGUAAUACAGAGGCCUCAAGCAUUAUCCGGAUUCACUGGGCGUAAAGGGUGCGUAGGCGGUGUUAUUAGUCGGGUGUUAAAUCCUGGGGCUCAACCUCAGAAUCGCAUCCGAAACGGUAACACUAGAAGAAGUGAGAGGUUAGCAGAACUCUCGGUGUAGGGGUGAAAUCCGUUGAUAUCGAGGGGAAUACCAAAUGCGAAGGCAGCUAACUGGCACUUUCUUGACGCUGAGGCACGAAAGCGUGGGUAGCGAACGGGAUUAGAUACCCCCGUAGUCC
rnacentral:rRNA from 1 species